AGAGUUUGAUCAUGGCUCAGAUUGAACGCUGGCGGCAGGCCUAACACAUGCAAGUCGAGCGGUAGCACAGAGAGCUUGCUCUCGGGUGACGAGCGGCGGACGGGUGAGUAAUGUCUGGGAAACUGCCUGAUGGAGGGGGAUAACUACUGGAAACGGUAGCUAAUACCGCAUAACGUCGCAAGACCAAAGUGGGGGACCUUCGGGCCUCAUGCCAUCAGAUGUGCCCAGAUGGGAUUAGCUAGUAGGUGGGGUAAUGGCUCACCUAGGCGACGAUCCCUAGCUGGUCUGAGAGGAUGACCAGCCACACUGGAACUGAGACACGGUCCAGACUCCUACGGGAGGCAGCAGUGGGGAAUAUUGCACAAUGGGCGCAAGCCUGAUGCAGCCAUGCCGCGUGUAUGAAGAAGGCCUUCGGGUUGUAAAGUACUUUCAGCGAGGAGGAAGGCAUUAAGGUUAAUAACCUUGGUGAUUGACGUUACUCGCAGAAGAAGCACCGGCUAACUCCGUGCCAGCAGCCGCGGUAAUACGGAGGGUGCAAGCGUUAAUCGGAAUUACUGGGCGUAAAGCGCACGCAGGCGGUCUGUCAAGUCGGAUGUGAAAUCCCCGGGCUCAACCUGGGAACUGCAUUCGAAACUGGCAGGCUAGAGUCUUGUAGAGGGGGGUAGAAUUCCAGGUGUAGCGGUGAAAUGCGUAGAGAUCUGGAGGAAUACCGGUGGCGAAGGCGGCCCCCUGGACAAAGACUGACGCUCAGGUGCGAAAGCGUGGGGAGCAAACAGGAUUAGAUACCCUGGUAGUCCACGCCGUAAACGAUGUCGACUUGGAGGUUGUGCCCUUGAGGCGUGGCUUCCGGAGCUAACGCGUUAAGUCGACCGCCUGGGGAGUACGGCCGCAAGGUUAAAACUCAAAUGAAUUGACGGGGGCCCGCACAAGCGGUGGAGCAUGUGGUUUAAUUCGAUGCAACGCGAAGAACCUUACCUACUCUUGACAUCCAGAGAACUUAGCAGAGAUGCUUUGGUGCCUUCGGGAACUCUGAGACAGGUGCUGCAUGGCUGUCGUCAGCUCGUGUUGUGAAAUGUUGGGUUAAGUCCCGCAACGAGCGCAACCCUUAUCCUUUGUUGCCAGCGGUCCGGCCGGGAACUCAAAGGAGACUGCCAGUGAUAAACUGGAGGAAGGUGGGGAUGACGUCAAGUCAUCAUGGCCCUUACGAGUAGGGCUACACACGUGCUACAAUGGCAUAUACAAAGAGAAGCGACCUCGCGAGAGCAAGCGGACCUCAUAAAGUAUGUCGUAGUCCGGAUUGGAGUCUGCAACUCGACUCCAUGAAGUCGGAAUCGCUAGUAAUCGUAGAUCAGAAUGCUACGGUGAAUACGUUCCCGGGCCUUGUACACACCGCCCGUCACACCAUGGGAGUGGGUUGCAAAAGAAGUAGGUAGCUUAACCUUCGGGAGGGCGCUUACCACUUUGUGAUUCAUGACUGGGGUGAAGUCGUAACAAGGUAACCGUAGGGGAACCUGCGGUUGGAUCACCU
rnacentral:rRNA from 1 species